rnacentral:lncRNA from 1 species
CCUAAGUUCAGCUCUCUUCACGGUGUUGUGGAUCUUCCACGGACUCGUUUUGGUGCUGCACUAUUUGAGGGUUGAUGUUUUCUGCUUGUUUGUUUUCACUUUUCAAAAAAAAAUUGCCCCCCAAAAAUGUUAAAUUAGUAUUUAUCCAGUCGCGCGCGUGUCUUAGCGUGUACAGGCAUGUGUGUGUGUGUGUGAGAGAGAGAGAGGUAGGAGAUUGUAAAUUACAAAAAUGCCUUUGCAUCUUGACGCGCCACGCGUGUGCGUUCCACACCCUUUACUCUCGGUAAAACAGAGGUGAGGACGGACCGGGCGAUGUUGGACGCGCUCCUUCUGCAUCCGGCUGGACGGUGAAACCAAAUUGGAACACCUCCAGAACUGAUCCAUUAAAGAGGACUCCCAGCCGGACAGCGUCGCUCUGGAGGACGAUCCCGAGAGCAGCUACCGAGCUCUGCUGGCCCGUCGAUUGUCCAGCCUGCAGCCCACCUCCCGCAGCCCCGUCCUGGAACUCAUAUCCUCUCCACCUGGAAGCAAAAACUCUCAGAGGGACAGCCAGUCAGAGAGCUCCCAAGAGAAACCUGGUCAGGUUAUUUUCGCAUUAGCUACACUGAUAAGAAUCAGCCCAGAAUAAGAAUAAUCUUUUUCUCUGUAUUCAGACACUCUGAAUGAUCCCAACUCAGAAUCUCAGCAGGAGAGUCAAGUUCUCAACAUUUGCCCUCCUCUCAACAAAAAGUAUGUGCCAACGUAAAGCCGUUGCAUUGGUGAUCAUGUUUUUACAGUGCUGUUUUUUUUUUUUCAGGUGUGCACCAGAGGACAUGGAAUCUACAGCCGAUUCCACAACACACUGUGUCCAGGCCGAAGGUGGAACUUCUCAGUUUAACUUUCUAGAGCUAUCACAGAGUCAAGACUUGGGAGGGGAAGUGACAAAUUGCCAGGACCAAGAAGACAAUAUCCCUCCUCCAGAUAGUGAAAAACAUGCCAAAUUAGGUAAUUAUAAAUGCUCCUCGCAUGCUUUUGUCAUUCUCAUUAUGGGUCAGGUGAAUUCAGACGCUUUAGGAGGCACAUCCUUAAAAGCCAAACCUGAGAUUCCAAGUUAAUGGCUCAGUGAAGAUGCUCCGUAUUUUUUGCUAUCACUUUCAAAGGUUUGUAGAUUGUAUUCUGUGCUUUAACAUUUAAUAUAUCAUCUAAAAGACCACCUGAAAGUAACAAUGAUCUUUAUAUAAGAGAAGCUAAAAUGGUAAAGAAUUUCAGCUGUGGGGAUUAUUAGGUUGGCUAUUGUUUAAGUGUUUUUUCCUCACCUGCAGGUCAGAACUCUGACUCCAGGACUUCAGGAAGUCAGAACAACAAAGCAGCUAGGUAUGUCAGCAUGAGCUGUUCCUAUAGAGGAGGUGAAAUGAAGAAGGUGGCAGCGUCCAGGAUCAUCUCCUGCUUGUCUGGCAACAGUCUGUUUUUCUCCUCCAGGGCAGAGGUGAGCUCCAGCAGCUCCUUGGACUCUCCAGUUCAGUCUGCUCAGCAGGUGAGCGUCCAGGUUUUGCUACACUCUCAGUGCCUCCAGACGUCUGAGCAGGACCAGCGGGACUGUGAGAUCCUGUCUUCUCAACAGGACCUGUUUGAAACUGACAAAACAGGUGAAUGCAUGCAAACAUACUCAUGCCGGGCUAUUUUUUUCACUCUACACUGCAUCACUUUCUUUUUUCGCUGCCCCUUCUAUUAUCUGUUGUUAGCGAUGAUCGUAACUCAGUCUGACCGUUGCUACACCCAGCAGCUGAGCUCCACAUGAAAUAUGCCAAAGUGAGACUACUUCAGGACGACUCUUGUUUCCAUGGUUACCUACCAAUAAUAGCUAAUUUAGUGCUCCUUUCACUCUAAAAAUAGAAACACAACAACAGUUAAUUCAAUGUUGUGCCCCUCAAAAUGGAUCCGUUUUGGUUUGGUGGUGUUUUCUGUGUGCACUUCUCACACUCUUGUCUUUCAGGCGCUGCAGUAGACAGCACCGUUUCUGAGCCUGAGCAGGAGGGUCAGCCUACUCUGACUCCGGGCCAAAGCCUGCGACUGCUGCAUCUGUCAGGACAGGGAACAUUGGUGCAGGAAAGUCUGUCCCAGUGAGUUUCAGCACUUUCUGGAGCUGGUUCUGUUGCACAUGUGUGUAGAGGACAUCACCAAUAAUCCAUAUU